rnacentral:rRNA from 1 species
AUGGGGCAGUACCCUUCGGGAGCAUUUGGAGCAGGCUCAAGUAGCAGUCCAGCUUCUCCUGCUGGAUGCAUACCUUUUCUUGGAUCUGCUAGAGGCACUAGUUCAAGAGGAGAUGAGAACAGUCCAGUUGGAUUUAGUUCUCCCAUGUCACCUGCAUAUCAUGUGGAUGAAGAUCCGGCUGUCAGUAAUCAAGAUGGCAGUGAUAGUAGUCCUGAUGAGAUUCAGAAAAAAAGGAAAACAGCUUGGGUGCACAAUUCAUGUGAUCCGAUUGAUGGAAACUCCAAAAGGGCAGAGACCUAUUGGAAGGAAGUCGCAGCAGAGUACAACAAAUAUGCAACAAAAGAGCAGAAGAAAACAGUUGGGCAAUGCAAGAACCACUGGACCAAGACCACAAAGAAGGUUACAAAGUUCAAUGGUAUCUACAAUGUUGAAAAAAGUACAUGGCCUAGUGGGAGUGAUGACAAGCAACUUAUGGAGAGGGUACGUGCCAAAUACAUGAGUGUUGCCAAGACAAAAAGACCCUUUCCAUAUGAGCACUGGUGGGAGUACGUGAGGAAAGAGGCUAAAUGGAGAAGGUCUUAUUCAGUUGAAGAGAUGAACAAAAGAAACAAGUUGAAUGCAUUAGGAGCUUAUAGUUCUCCAACCCAGGCAAUAGAUGAGGAAGGUGAACUUCAACGACCCCCGGGACGCAACACUUCAAAAGACGCAAAAGAUAAACAUAAGUCAUCAAGCAAGUCUAAAUGCUCUGGAAGCUUGACAAGUGAGAGUGUGGACAAAUUUAAGAAAAUGGCCGACGCCACCCUUAUUCAAGCAGAAGCCACAAAAGUUCAAGCAGAAGCUGAGAAUGAAAGAGUUGAAACUGAGAAGGAGAAGAUAAAGGUGGACAAACUGAGCAAAUACCUUGAUCUUCUUCACAAAAAUACUUCAGCUUAUGAUGAUGCCCAAAAGAAAAGACAUGAACAAGUUCUAAAUUUCUUAGCUAAUGAUCUGUUCGGUUAA